GACGAACGCUGGCGGCGUGCUUAACACAUGCAAGUCGAACGGAAAGGCCCUGCUUUUGUUGGGUGCUCGAGUGGCGAACGGGUGAGUAACACGUGAGUAACCUGCCCUUGACUUUCGGAUAACUUUAGGAAACUGGGGCUAUUACCCGAUAUGACCUCCUGCUGCAUGUGGUUGGUUGGAAAGUUUCGGCGGUUUGGGAUGGACUCGCGGCUUAUCAGCUUGUUGGUGGGGUAGUGGCUUACCAAGGCUUUGACGGGUAGCCGGCAUGAGAGGGUUACCGGCCACAUUGGGACUGCGAGACGGCGCAGAAGCCUACGGGAGGCAGUAGUGGGGAAUCUUGCACAAUGGGCGGAAGCCUGAUGCAGCAACGCCGCGUGCGGGAUGACGGGCUUCGGGUUGUAAACCGAUUUCGCCUGUGACGAAGAGUGAGUGACGGUAAUGGGUAAAGAAGCAACGGCUAACUACGUG
rnacentral:rRNA from 1 species